GACGUAGGGCGCGAGCGUUGUCCGGAUUUAUUGGGCGUAAAGAGCUUGUAGGCGGCUUGUUGCGUCGACUGUGAAAACCCGCGGCUUAACUGCGGGCUUGCAGUUGAUACGGGCAGGCUAGAGUUCGGUAGGGGAGACUGGAAUUCCUGGUGUAGCGGUGAAAUGCGCAGAUAUCAGGAGGAACACCGGUGGCGAAGGCGGGUCUCUGGGCCGAUACUGACGCUGAGGAGCGAAAGCGUGGGGAGCGAACAGG
rnacentral:rRNA from 1 species